CUACGGAGGGUGCGAGCGUUAUCCGGAUUUAUUGGGUUUAAAGGGUGCGUAGGCGGAAUAUUAAGUCAGUGGUGAAAUCCUGCGGCUCAACCGUAGAACUGCCAUUGAUACUGAUAUUCUUGAAUGUAGUUGAGGUAGGCGGAAUGUGUAAUGUAGCGGUGAAAUGCUUAGAUAUUACACAGAACACCGAUUGCGAAGGCAGCUUACUAAACUAUGAUUGACGCUGAUGCACGAAAGCGUGGGGAGCGAACAGGAUUAGAAACCCCGGUAGUCC
rnacentral:rRNA from 1 species